rnacentral:rRNA from 1 species
GACGAACGCUGGCGGCGUGCUUAACACAUGCAAGUCGAACGGAAAGGCCCUGCUUUUGUGGGGUGCUCGAGUGGCGAACGGGUGAGUAACACGUGAGUAACCUGCCCUUGACUUUGGGAUAACUUCAGGAAACUGGGGCUAAUACCGGAUAGGAGCUCCUGCUGCAUGGUGGGGGUUGGAAAGUUUCGGCGGUUGGGGAUGGACUCGCGGCUUAUCAGCUUGUUGGUGGGGUAGUGGCUUACCAAGGCUUUGACGGGUAGCCGGCCUGAGAGGGUGACCGGCCACAUUGGGACUGAGAUACGGCCCAGACUCCUACGGGAGGCAGCAGUGGGGAAUAUUGCACAAUGGGCGGAAGCCUGAUGCAGCAACGCCGCGGGCGGGAGGACGGCCUUCGGGUUGUAAACCGCUUUCGCCUGUGACGAAGCGUGAGUGACGGUAAUGGGUAAAGAAGCACCGGCUAACUACGUGC